rnacentral:misc_RNA from 1 species
GUUGGACAAUUAUGAGAUUCAAAUGUUGUACAGAUACUGGUCUAGGAGAUAUCAAAGAGGACAGCCCUAAUAUUGUGUUGGUGGUGCUCUACUGCUGUGUUGACUUUGCCAAUGUCUUAAUCUGGAUGAAAACCUAAAAGCCUAAAGAAUCCAGACUGUCCAGACAAGGAGUUCAACUUAAACUUGAGAUAUGAUUCAUUUGCCAACUACAGCGAAUCUUGUGAUAUCCAAAAUUGCUUGAAUAGGAUCCUAAUGGCUAGGCAAUCUUAAAAUUGGUUGCCAUAGGUCCAGGCAAGUUCGGA